rnacentral:piRNA from 1 species
UUUUUGCAUAAUUAAAAGCUC